AUUGAACGCUGGCGGCAGGCCUAACACAUGCAAGUCGAGCGGAUGAAGGGAGCUUGCUCCUGGAUUCAGCGGCGGACGGGUGAGUAAUGCCUAGGAAUCUGCCUGGUAGUGGGGGAUAACGUCCGGAAACGGGCGCUAAUACCGCAUACGUCCUGAGGGAGAAAGUGGGGGACCUUCGGACCUCACGCUAUCAGAUGAGCCUAGGUCGGAUUAGCUAGUUGGUGGGGUAAAGGCCUACCAAGGCGACGAUCCGUAACUGGUCUGAGAGGAUGAUCAAUCACACUGGAACUGAGACACGGUCCAGACUCCUACGGGAGGCAGCAGUGGGGAAUAUUGGACAAUGGGCGAAAGCCUGAUCCAGCCAUGCCGCGUGUGUGAAGAAGGUCUUCGGAUUGUAAAGCACUUUAAGUUUGGAGGAAGGGCAGUAAGCUAAUACCUUGCUGUUUUGACGUUACCAACAGAAUAAGCACCGGCUAACUUCGUG
rnacentral:rRNA from 1 species